UGGGGAAUUUUGGACAAUGGGCGAAAGCCUGAUCCAGCAAUGCCGCGUGUGUGAAGAAGGCCUUCGGGUUGUAAAGCACUUUUGUCCGGAAAGAAAUCCUCUGGGUUAAUACCUCGGGGGGAUGACGGUACCGGAAGAAUAAGCACCGGCUAACUACGUGCCAGCAGCCGCGGUAAUACGUAGGGUGCAAGCGUUAAUCGGAAUUACUGGGCGUAAAGCGUGCGCAGGCGGUUUUGUAAGACGGAUGUGAAAUCCCCGGGCUUAACCUGGGAACUGCAUUCGUGACUGCAAGGCUAGAGUAUGGCAGAGGGGGGUAGAAUUCCACGUGUAGCAGUGAAAUGCGUAGAGAUGUGGAGGAAUACCGAUGGCGAAGGCAGCCCCCUGGGCCAAUACUGACGCUCAUGCACGAAAGCGUGGGGGAGCAAACAGGAUUAGGAUACCCUGGUAGUCCACGCCCUAAACGAUGUCAACUAGUUGUUGGGGAUUCAUUUCCUUAGUAACGUAGCUAACGCGUGAAGUUGACCGCCU
rnacentral:rRNA from 1 species